UUGUACAUCUUGCCCUUUCUUUUACUUAAAGCUUUGCAUAAUUUUGUCUAACUUUUCAUUUUUCUAGUCUUCCUUUGCAUCCUCCUUGAGUACAAAUGCAAGAAACGCAGACCACAUUCCAAACAGUCCAGCCAAGGCUAGCUAAAAUAGUCUGAUGUCUCCUUAUUUUACAGCAUACAGAAUUAAGAAACCACAAGACUGGGAAUCACAGAAUCGUUUAGGUUGGAAGGGACCUCUGGAGAUCAUCUAGUCCAACC
rnacentral:lncRNA from 1 species